GUAACGCGUGAGUAACCUGCCUUCAAGAGGGGGAUAACAUUCUGAAAAGAAUGCUAAUACCGCAUGACAUAUCGGAACCACAUGGUUUUGAUAUCAAAGAUUUUAUCGCUUGAAGAUGGACUCGCGUCCGAUUAGUUAGUUGGUGAGGUAACGGCUCACCAAGACCGCGAUCGGUAGCCGGACUGAGAGGUUGAACGGCCACAUUGGGACUGAGACACGGCCAGACUCCUACGGGAGGCAGCAUG
rnacentral:rRNA from 1 species